UGCCAGCAGCCGCGGUAAUACAGAGGUGACAAACGUUGUCCGGAAUCACUGGGCGUAAAGGGCAUGCAGGUGGUUUGGUAAGUCAGGUGUGAAAUCUUCGGGCUCAACCCGGAAAUUGCACUUGAUACUGCUAAACUUGAGUUCGGUAGAGGAGGGCGGAAUUCCUGGUGUAGCGGUGAAAUGCGUAGAUAUCAGGAGGAACACCGGUGGCGAAGGCGGCCCUCUGGUCCGAUACUGACACUGAGAUGCGAAAGUGUGGGGAGCAAACAGGAUUAGAUA
rnacentral:rRNA from 1 species